rnacentral:rRNA from 1 species
UACGAAGGGUGCAAGCGUUACUCGGAAUUACUGGGCGUAAAGCGUGCGUAGGCGGUUUGUUAAGUCUGUCGUGAAAGCCCCGGGCUCAACCUGGGAAUGGCGAUGGAUACUGGCGAGCUAGAGUACGGUAGAGGAGAGUGGAAUUCCCGGUGUAGCAGUGAAAAUGCGUAGAGAUCGGGAGGAACAUCAGUGGCGAAGGCGGGUCUCUGGACAGUCCUGACGCUGAGGCACGAAGGCCAGGGGAGCAAACGGGA